rnacentral:tRNA from 1 species
AAUAAUUUAGUAUAAGACAUUACACAUAAUUUCCAAUUAUGGGAUUUAAUUUUUAAAAUUAUUA